rnacentral:rRNA from 1 species
GACAGAGGAUGCAAGCGUUAUCCGGAAUGAUUGGGCGUAAAGCGUCUGUAGGUGGCUUUUUAAGUCCGCCGUCAAAUCCCAGGGCUCAACCCUGGACAGGCGGUGGAAACUACCAAGCUGGAGUACGGUAGGGGCAGAGGGAAUUUCCGGUGGAGCGGUGAAAUGCACAGAGAUCGGGAAGAACACCAGUGGCGAAGGCGCUCUACUAGGCCGUGACUGACACUGAGAGACGAUAGCUAGGGGG